CCCUCACAAGUCACAACAUACAGUAGACAUAUUUUACUUUUUACAAAAUGGUAGACAGCCGAAAACUCAAGUCAUGCAGCGAAAAGGUGCAGCAAUUAAAAAAUUAGUAGUUCGGAUCAUGUAUCUUUGCAUUUCUUGUAAGAUAUGGGCUACAUUAUAUACAUUGAGUGUAUGUAUAGAAUUUACCGAUGCACUAUCUAUUGUCUCUGUUGGAAUUCUGGCCUAUCAGAUAACAUGCACAAUCAUUUAUGUAUCAAAACCCUUGUGAACGCUUGCAGAAGAAACUGAAAGCGACCAAGAUCUGAACUCCGGAACGUUUUCGUUGCUUUCUCUAGUUCUGAAAUUUGGGACAUAUUGCAGUGGAGGGCGUCAAUAUGGAACCUGAAAAAUUGUAGCAGCAAAACAAAUUUGCGACUGAUGAUGCAUGUUAGUGCAAGCUCAGCGCUGGAUUGGUUCGGUACUUGAAGAGUGUUGCCAAAUCUUGGCGCACUCAUAGAGGCUGGGAUAGCAGGGCUAUUUCGACACUAGAUCUUCUUCCAGUGGUGGGGGCACCCGACCAUAUAUCAUUUCGCAUCUCAUGUCUUCAAAGUCUGAUAUGUUGUGGUGUCAGUGAGUAAGGUAAUCAUCAGCCAAGGCUAACUUAACUUCAGUUGCAAAAGGCAGGAAACUCGGUCUAGAGAAAGCAUGUAUUUCAGAGAACAAAUUUGUACUUCAUUUCGUUCUGUUGGCCUGCAUUAACUAAGCACUCAAGUGGACUUACUUGGAUUCAUGGUGAGGGGAAGGCCGAACUCGUCGGUGAAGAAGCUCUGUGUGGGGAUCUUUCACAUGUUGACGCACAUCCCAACGCGCCCGCUGUUCUCCAAGUACCUGCAUGAAUUGCGAUGACGUGACUGUGGCAUCAAAUCAAAGGUUUCCUCACAUUUCCUGUAUUUCAUACUGUACCUGCAUUUCUUUAUGAGCAAUCCACUCCUCUGCUUCACCCCGUCAACCUCUACCUCGAUAACCUGCUUAAUCAACAACACGCGUCGUGAUGAUAAACAAUGCAAUAAUCGCAAGUCAUUACACGAAAAUCUUGUGACGGGCCACAUGUGCUAUAACAUUCUUUUUACAAAUUAUAAAGUGAGUGCGAUAAUUGAGAAGCUAGAAUGCAUACUUGGUGGCAGCGGUGGAGCUUACUGUAUUGCUCGGGAGGGAGUGCCCCAAUGCAUACUUUGUGGCAUUGGCAAAGCUUAGUGUAUUGCUGGGGGGGGGGCUGUGCCCCCCUCCCCCCAAACUUUGGACACUUGUUUGUAGAAAUAUUAAGUAGAGGGCCUAGCUGAAAGAAAAAAAUAGUAUUUUGCCCCCUCAAACGCUCCUAUUUUGUGCCCCCUCUAGGAAUUCUGGUGUAGCUCCGCCACUGCUUAGCGGGACUGAUGCACAUGAGCAAGACGGGCUUCUUGUCAUGCCGGCCUACCGCCCUAAAAACCCUGAAGAGCACCGUGGUUUUCUCUGUAGGAAAUAUACAGAAAACCCAUUAUACAAUGGGGUAAAUAUAAAAUGUUACAUGGCUAUAUAAAUAGUACUCUAACACCUCCGCCCCCUCAAACUCAUGGUGGAUUACUAGCACUGAGUUUAGAGAGAUAGAAGCCAUGGUGCGCUCUAGUGUGGUCCUUCAUAAAGAAAUCGGCCAACUAUAACUUGGAAGGCACAUACUAAAGAGCAAUAAACUGAUCCUACACACCAACGCACACAUAAAAACCGUCAACACCAAUAUGCUUGGUGAGCUCAUGCUUCACAGAUCACAGGGUCACGCAUAAUGCUAAUAGCACAUGUACUGUCAGACAAUAGCAAAGUAGGUGUAGUAACAGAAACACCAAAAUCCUGAAGUAACCACCGUAACCAAAUCAUCUCUGUCGUCAAAAGAGUCGUAGCUCACAACUCAGCCUCUGCACUCGAAUGAGAAACAACAGUCUGUUUCUUUUUCUUCCGCACAAUGAGAGAACCAUCAAGAAAAACACAUUAAGCAAAAAGUGAACGACAAUCCAAGGGAUCACUAACCCAUGUAGCAUCCGAAUAGGACUGAAGUUGUAAUGAACUGGAGUGAGGAAAGAACGGACAAUGAGAAAUCAUGCCAUGAAGAUAUCGGAGAACACGAAGGAGGUGACUAAAGUGAACCAAACUCGGAGUAGAGACAAACUGACUCAAAAUAUGGAUUGGAUAAGAGAUAUCUGGACGAGUGAAGAAGAAGACAAGCGGGCGGCGUCACACACGAGCAGUUCAAGCGCCAAGCGGAUCGAGCGAAUCAAGGCGACCCAAUGCGGGCGGAAGCAAGUGGAUCGGGGCAGCAACGGCCAACUAAGAACGGCAGGGCGGUUAGCGGCAAUCGCGAGACUUGCUGAUGUCCGUACAACAAAUUAGCAGCAACAAUCGGCUGGAGAGAGAGGAGGAGCGGUAGCCGACUCCUACCACACCACCCCGACAUCCGCCUCGACCGCUGGCGGUACCGCCUCAGUCAAGCGGAACUGGAAGCCGCCUACAGGGAGUUCGACAAGGCGGUGGAUGAGGUGUGGGGUAAGAGCGACAACGGGGAGGACAUCGCCAGCUCCGCCCCGACCGCGCCCCACUGCCAGGACCACGAAGUCGGCACAUCCGCGGGGGCUGCCGCCAACAAGGAAGAGUAGUACAUGGUAGGUCGCCGCCGCUCAGGUCCCAGGAAGGCCACCGUUGUUCCCCUCCCGUUGAAGCCAAGCUUGGUGGGCUGGACAUUGUUGGCCGAUUAGGUCUAAGAUUAGUUUUUCAAAAUGAGAAUCACAAGUUGGCAAGCCUGAGAGAAUUUUGCCAUACUUUUUAAGUGUAUGUGAUGUGGGAUUCUAGUGUGACCUUCCUAAGAUGUGGCUUGAACCAAACAUACAUCUAAGUUGAUCAAAUUUGCCUAACCUUAGAUGUGGCAACCUUUGACAACCCAAACAACCCCGUGGUUGGCAAGAAUGUUGAUAAGAGAGGCACGGAGCAGGGUUUUCUGACAGGGCGAGUAUUAACGUCCAAUGAAUAAACGAACCAAAUACCAGGGGUGGAGGCAGGGGACCCUCCCCAACAUCCUCUAUUUCCAUGUGUUUGAAUGUGAAGAUAGACAAUUGCUUCAUGCUCCCCUCACAAGUCACAACAUACAGUAGACAUAUUUUACUCUUUACAAAAUGAUAGAUAGCCGAAAACUCUAGUCAUGCAGCGAAAAGGUGCAGCAAUUACAAAAUUAGUAGUUCGGAUCAUGUAUCUUUGCAUUUCCUGUAAGAUAUGGACUACAUUAUAUACAUUGAGUGUAUAUAUAAAAUUUACCAAUGCACUAUCUAUUGUCCCUGUUGGAACUCUGGCCUAUCGGAUACCAUGCACAAUCAUUUAUGUAUCAAAACCCUUGUGAGCGCUUGCAGAAGAAACUGAAAGCGACCAAGAUCUGAACUCCGGAAUGUUUUCGGCGCUUUCUCUAG
rnacentral:lncRNA from 1 species